UACGUAGGGGGCAAGCGUUGUCCGGAUUUACUGGGCGUAAAGAGCGCGUAGGCGGACGCUUAAGUGUGGCCUGAAAGCCCCCGGCUUAACCGGGGAAGGUGGCUGCAAACUGGGCGUCUUGAGGUCGAUAGAGGAGAGCGGAAUUCCUGGUGUAGCGGUGAAAUGCGUAGAUAUCAGGAGGAACACCGGUGGCGAAGGCGGCUCUCUGGGUCGGACCUGACGCUGAGGCGCGAAAGCGUGGGGAGCGAACGGG
rnacentral:rRNA from 1 species